rnacentral:lncRNA from 1 species
GGACUGUCAUGGCUGGAGUUCACAGGACAGAGUGCUGGAGAGGAGAGAGCUGCACAGAGAGAACUUGAGAGGCCUGCAAAGGGUUCCCCUCAAGUAUUCGGCUGAGUACUAAUUAGUACCUGUCUGUGAGGAAAUUACCUGAAGCUGCGGAAAGAAACCCCUAAAUAUAUUAGGGGUAGCAGGAUCUGGUGCUCACACAGAGCUGAGAAUAUUUGCCCUUCUCACCAGCCAGACUGGAAAACCCCAUGAUUCACAGGACAUUAGGAAGAUUAGCCCUGAGCUAACAUCUGCUGCCAAUCCUCCUCUUUUUGCUGCGGAAGACUGGCCCUGAGCUAACAUCUGUGCCCAUCUUCCUCUACUGUGUAUGUGGGACACCUGCCACAGCAUGGCUUGCCAAGCGGUGCCAUGUCCGCACCCAGGAUCCCAACCCAUGAACUCCAGGCCACCAAAGCGGAACAUGCAAACUUAACUGCUGCGCCACUGGGCCGGCCCCCUGAUAUUCAAAUUUUACAUUGUUAUUCACAGUUAAGUCAGAUCCUGAAUGUGACUACAAACAAUUGCAUUUCUUUCCUUCUACAACUUUUCUGUUUCCCUGAAGGUUUUGGUGGCAAGUUUAUGUUGGCCUCCCAGUAGAUGGUUCUCAUGCUCCAUCUGUCUUGAAGAAGUAAGUUAUCUUGAUGUAAGUGGUUCACAUAUCAAGGAACAACAGGACGCCUCUAGGAGCUAAUGUUGGUGACAAGCUAGAAACUGAAGCUUCAGUCCAGCAGCUGCAAAGAAAUGAAUUCUACCAACAACCCAUGGAAACUUGGGAGUGGAUCUUUCCCCAGUCAAACUUCCAGAUGAGAACAUAGGCCAGAUGACACCUCGACUGCAGCCUUGUAAGACCUUGAGCAGAGAACACAGAUAAAUAGUCCC